rfam:Trypanosoma cruzi marinkellei strain B7 TcMARK_CONTIG_3860, whole genome shotgun sequence.
GAUAUGAUGAUUGACGUAACAUCACAGACUUUGACGAACCCGUGAGCA